AUCAUACAAAUUUUGAAUGUCACCCACAUUUUGAUAAUGUUCAAUUUCCAGUACAACUAUUUAACCGUUGUGUACAACCAUCACUUUCUUCCCACUCGUCCUACUCCUCUUUCUCUGGAGAACAAUGGGGAGUUUCAAUCCAACAAUGGAGGUUUUUAGUCCAAAUGACUAUUCUCCUCCUCCUACUCCUCUUAUCUCCUUCUUGCUUUUCUGUCAAUCUACCCACUAACCCCAACUCACAAAAUUCAACCUUCCUCAAGACGCUCUGUGAAAUCCUACAGUAUUUCCGAUGAUGGAACAUUGGAAGUUUUACUUGUUAUGUGGAGUUUGAGUAUUUGGUUUAUUAUGCUGACAAGGUUACUGGGAAGCUGAGUCUUGGGUCUAUUACUGAUUUAGAAGGAAGAGAUUCUUGUUGUGGUUAAAUGUGAAUGAGAUUCGAGUGGAUUUGCCAUCGUCUGGGAGUUGGGUUUAUUAACAAGAAGCUUGAUAUCAAACAGUUUGAAACCCUUCCUUCUUGCUUUGGUCUUGUGUGGAGGACCAUCUCUGGGACAGCAAAAAGAUGAAUAUGGAAUAGGAGAAUCUGUUAUCUGGAGGCUUCCUCCUUUUCUAGCUUCCGGCUCCCAUCGAUAAUAUGGAAAUGCUUGUUACAGAGUAGCCUGGGACCUAAUACACAUCUCAAGCCAAAAGUUGGAGCAGCUGGAGAUAUCAUCUACUUCAUCUAUUCACUUCUUUUGAAGUCCGGAUUAAGAUUACAUGAAUAUAUCAUGUAUAACGAGCUUAUUAUAUUUGAUGUAUGCUUUUCUUCCUCCCCACCUCCUGCCCUGUUCCCCCAGUUUCCGCCAAAAGAUUAGAGGAAAAUAUCAGAACUAGACACAAAGAAAUGGAUAAAACUCAGUGUUGGAGUUGAAUGUCAAUUUUUUAUC